GACGAACGCUGGCGGCGUGCUUAACACAUGCAAGUCGAACGGAAAGGCCCUGCUUUUGUGGGGUGCUCGAGUGGCGAACGGGUGAGUAACACGUGAGUAACCUGCCCUUGACUUUGGGAUAACUUCAGGAAACUGGGGCUAAUACCGGAUAGGAGCUCCUGCUGCAUGGUGGGGGUUGGAAAGUUUCGGCGGUUGGGGAUGGACUCGCGGCUUAUCAGCUUGUUGGUGGGGUAGUGGCUUACCAAGGCUUUGACGGGUAGCCGGCCUGAGAGGGUGACCGGGGAGACUGGAAGUGAGGAACGGUCCAGGGUCAGACGGGAGGGAGCAGUGGGGGAGGGUGCGCAAGGGGCGGGGGGCUGACGGGGCGGCGCGGGGUGAGUGAGGAGGGUGGUCGGGGCGUAAAACUGGGUGAUCAGGGAAGAAAAAAGGGGGAAGUAACUGUGGGCAUCCGGACGGUAGCUGAUCAGAAAGACACGGCUAACUAGGUG
rnacentral:rRNA from 1 species